rnacentral:rRNA from 1 species
UACGUAGGGUGCAAGGCGUUGUCCGGAAUUAUUGGGCGUAAAGGAGCUCGUAGGCGGCUCGUCGCGUCGGCUGUGAAAACCUGGGGGCUCAACCCCCGGGCCUGCAGCCUGAUACGGGCGAGCUAGAAUUCGGUGAGGGAGGACUGGAAUUCCUGGUGUAGCGGUGAAAUGCGCAGAUAUCAGGAGGAACACCGGUGGCGAAGGCGGGUCUCUGGGACCGAUAUUGACGCUGGAGGAGCGGAAAGCGUGGGGAGCGAACAGGAUU